rnacentral:rRNA from 1 species
ACUCUCGACAAUGGAUAUCUCGGCUCUUACAUCGAUGAAAAAGUAGUGAAAUGUGAUACUUGGUAUGAAUUGUAGAAUCUUAUGAACCAUCGAGUCUUCAAAUGUAGGUUGCACCUCAAGCCAUUAGGCUGAAGGCACGCUUGCCUGGGUGUCAUGCACUAUCGCCCCCCUUCUGACCCCUCCACCUGUAGGGUUCGAAGGGAGGAAGGGGGAGGAAAAUGGCCUUUCUUGAUCUGGUCGGUCAUGAUUGGCCCAAAAGUGAGUCCCCAACAACAACAGUGUUGUGACCGUCGAUGGUAAAGCUUUUGAUAUGCCUCAUCUCCAGUGACCCAUGCUUGUUGUCCAACCAGAUCCUAUCAAACCCCUCACAUCACUCAGCCAAAGCUCGUGUUGCGACCCUAGGUUAGGCGGGAUCACCCGCUGAGUUUAAGCAUAUUAAUAAGUGGAGAAAAAGAAAUUUACCAGGAUUCCCCUAGUAAUGGCGAGAUAAUGAGAAAAGCCUAGCUUGAGAAUUGGGCACCCUUGGCAUCUAAAUUAUAGUAUAGAGAAGUGUCCUCAAUGGUGCAUCGAGCCCAAGUUCCUUGGAAAGGGGCUUCAGAAAAGGUGAGAGCCCCAUUAUGCCUAGACCCUAUUGCACCAUGAGGCAUUGUCUGUGAGUCAGAUUGUUUAGGAAUGCAACCCCAAUCGUGUGACAAAUUCCAUUUACGGUUGAAUAUGGGCAAGAGACCGAUAGUGAACAAGUACCAUGAGGGAAAGAUGAAAAAGACUUUGAAAGAGAGUUAACAAGUGCUUGAAACUACCGAAAAUGGGGCAAAUGGGGACCAAUAAUGUACUUCGAUCGAAUGUUGAAAAGUGAGAGCCGAUCUACUAAUCGACUCUGGAUGUGGACCAACAUGGGUUGUGGUGGGAACCUAAGCCUAGGCUUUCGAUAUGCCAGUAGAGACAUCAUCGUCGUGAUCAUCGAAUGUAGCAUGCGCCAUCUUGACAUACCCCAACACCGGUGUGCUCUUGGUAUUGACCUACGGGCUUCCCAUCUGGCCUAUCUUCUUAUAUGGUCUAAGGAGUCUAACAUGUGUGUGAGUAAAUGGGCUAGAAAACCCAUAAGAUGCAAGAAAGCUAAUUGGUGGGAUAUCCCUCAUGGGUGCACUGCCAACCGACCUUAAUCUUCUAUGAAGGAUUCGAGUGCGAGCAUGCCUGUCAAAGCUCGAAAGAUGGUGAACUAUGCCUGGUGGGGCAAAGCCAAAGAAAACUUUGGUAGAGGCCCACAAUGAUACUGACAUGCAAAUCGUUCGUCCGACUUAGGUAUAGGGGUGAAAGACUAAUCGAACCAUCUAGUAGCUGGUUCCCUCUGAAGUUUCCCUCAAGAUAGCUAAAGCCCUUAACGAGUUCUAUCAGUUCAAACCAAUGAUUAAAGGCAUCAGGGGCACAAUGCCCUCUACCUAUUCUCAAACUUUAAAUAGGUAGGAUUGCAUGACUGCUUCAUUGAGCCAUGUCAUGGAAUCAAGAGCUCUAAUUGGUCCAUUUUUGGUAAGUAGAACUAACGAUGUAAGAUGAACCAAAAGUUAGGUUGUGGUGCCCAAGUGCACACUAACCUACAAUCCAUAAAGGGUGUUAGUCGAUUAAGAUAGUAGGAUGGUGGUCACGAAAGUCGAAAUCCACUAAGGAGUGUGUAACAACUCACCUACCGAAUCAACUAGCCUUAAAAAUGGGUGGUGCUUAAGUGCACAACCUAUACCUAGCCGUUAGGGCAAGGGCCAAGCCUCGCUGAGUAGGAGGGCAUGAUGAUCAUCCAAAACCCAAGGAACGAGCCCAGUCAGAAUGGCUAUCAAUGUAGAUCUUUGUGGUAAAAGCAAAUAUCCAAAUGAGAACUUUGAAAGCUGAAAAAGGGAAAGGUUCAAUGUGAACGGUACUUGCACAAGGGUUAGUUAAUCCUAAGAGAUGGGGGAAGCCCAUCCGAUAUCGCGUCUAGCAUGAGCUUCAAAAGUGAAUAGGGUUAAAAUUCUUAAAUCAGGAUGUGAUGGCUGACGACAAUGUUAGGGACUCUAGAAACAUCGAUCGAGGCCUCGGGAAGAGUUAUCUUUUCUGUUUAAUUACCUAUCCACCCUAGAAACAGCACUGUCGAAAGUAGGGUGGAAUGGCCAGAAGAGCACCACACAUCACGUGGUAUCUGAUCCACCCUCGGUAGCCUUUGAAAAUCUAGAGGACUGAGUGCCAUCCACGCCUGCUCAUACUCAUAACCACAUCAGGUCUCCAAGCUGAAUAGCCUCUGGUUGAUGAAACAAUAUAGGUAAAGAAAGUUGGCAAAAUGGAUCUGUAACCUCAAGAAAAAGAUUGGCUUUGAGGGUUGGGCAUUAAAGUCCCAGUCUUAAACUCGUAGGUUGUCAGUGCAUUACUCGAGUUGCUUCCACUAUGAGAGCUGAUCAUCGCAUGUAGGCUGAGGGAUGGAUAGGGAAUAGCUCCCUUGAGAACCUUCUCUAGGCGAUGAACAAUCGACUCAAAACUGGUAUAGAUAAGGGGAAUCCGACUGUUUAAUUUAAACAAAGCAUUGUGAUGGUCCUCAUGGAUGCUUAUGUAAUGCGAUUUCUACCUAGUGCUCUAAAUGUUAAUGUGAAGAAAUUCAACCAAGUGCGGGUAAACAAUGGGAGUAACUAUUUUUAAGGUAGCCAAAUGCCUCAUCAUCUAAUUAGUGACACAUAUGAAUGGAUUAACGGGAUUCCCACUAUCCCUAUCUACUAUCCAACAAAAUCGCAACCAAGUGAAUAGGCUUGGCAUAAUCAACAGGGUAAGAAGACCCUAUUAAGCUUGACUCUAGUCUGACUUUAUGGAAUGACUUAAAAGGUGUAGGAUAAGUGGGAGCACCCAAGCGAAAUUAAAAUACCACUACUUUUAAAGCUCUUGGCAUGCCUUUUAUCCAGUGAAGCACAUUUCCUAUCCACCCAAACCCCAUCAGAACCCCUACAUUACUCAGUCGAUGCUCGCGUCAUGACCCCAGAUUAGGUCGGGUCACCCAGUAAGUUUAAUCAUAUCAAUAAGCGAAAGAAAAGAAACUUACUAGGAUUCCCUUAGUAAAAGCUAAAGAAUCAAGAAGAGCCCAUCUUGAGAAUCGAGUGCCCCUGGCAUCUGAAUUAUAGUUUGAA